GAUGAAGAACGCAGCGAAAUGCGAUAAGUAGUGUGAAUUGCAGAAUUUAGUGAAUCAUCGAAUCUUUGAACGCACAUUGCGCCCUUUGGUACUCCUUAGGGCAUGCCUGUUCGAGCGUCAUCUACACCCUCAAGCACAGCUUGGUGAUGGGCGCCUGUCCCGCCCCCCACGGGGGCGCGGACUCGCCUCAAAUGCAUUGGCGGCCGGCGACCUGGCUUCGAGCGCAGCAGAAACGCGUACUCGGGGACCGGGCGCCCGCUCCCAGAAGCCAACCCACCCAGUUUGACCUCGGAUCAGGUAGGGAUACCCGCUGAACUUAAGCAUAUCAAUAAGCGGAGGA
rnacentral:misc_RNA from 1 species